rnacentral:rRNA from 1 species
UACGGGGGGGGCAAGCGUUGUUCGGAAUCAUUGGGCGUAAAGAGCGUGUAGGCGGUCCGGUAAGUCCGCUGUGAAAGUCGGGGGCUCAACCCUCGAAUGCCGGUGGAUACUGUCGGGCUAGAGUACGGAAGAGGCGAGUGGAAUUCCUGGUGUAGCGGUGAAAUGCGCAGAUAUCGGGAGGAACACCAAUGGCGAAGGCAGCUCGCUGGGACGGUACUGACGCUGAGACGCGAAAGCGUGGGGAGCAAACAGG